AGGAAAGGAGAAGGGCCACA
rnacentral:miRNA from 1 species